CAGAUUCACUCCUCUUAUCAUCUUAUAUUUCUUUCUCUCUAAUACCCACCCCUCUUGAUAUUCUCUAACACACAUUCAAUCCCACGCCAAAAAAUCCGCCAGAUAAUUUGACUGCCGCCGGAAAACAUCCCCGCCACCAGAAAACUCCAUCGCCGACCGCCGGGAAAUUCCACAUAACCCACAUCACCCGCUGGAAAACACCCUCCUCUCUUUUUCUUUUUUUCUUUUCCCGUUUUUUCUUCUCUCCCUUUCUUCAUCCGCCGGAAAAUUCCACAUCACCCGCCGGCCUCCACCAUCAACACCACUGUCGGUUAGCACGUCCACCAGCAUUACCUUAGUUUUUUAUCAACUAACAACUGCCAAACACCACCACAAGCAACUACCACUGCCGUCGCUGCUUACCCUUCACCGCGGCUGCUACUCUCAACCACUGCUGCUUGCCUUCCACCGGCGUUGCUACCCUCAACCGCCGCCGCUGUUUUAUUUAUAUUUCUUGGUAUGAACCAAUCUAGAUUCUCCAGGUGUAAAAAUUUGACAAGAAAUUUGGUGACCUGAAACAUUCCGGUAGAAACUGUACGUAAUUACUUUUUUUUUGCUUUUUCGCUUUUUUAGCGGUUGAACUACAAGGAUGAAAGAUUGCUACAAAUGAGGUGGUGUAAGAUUGCAAAUAUGUAUGUAUUGUAUAUUUGUAUGUAGAUACUGUAACUAUAUAUUGUAUGGGUAAAUAUAUUUUGUUGUUUAAUUUUGGACAAAGUUUUUGAGUUUUAGUUAUUGUUUGUUUAUUGUU